rnacentral:rRNA from 1 species
UACGAAGGGGGCUAGCGUUGCUCGGAAUCACUGGGCGUAAAGCGCACGUAGGCGGGUUCUUAAGUCAGGGGUGAAAUCCUGGAGCUCAACUCCAGAACUGCCUUUGAUACUGGGAAUCUCGAGUCCGGGAGAGGUGAGUGGAACUGCGAGUGUAGAGGUGAAAUUCGUAGAUAUUCGCAAGAACACCAGUGGCGAAGGCGGCUCACUGGCCCGGUACUGACGCUGAGGCGCGAAAGCGUGGGGAGCACACAGG